ACCAUCAUUUUCUUAGGGUUGUACUACUGUCCAGUGAGUACAUAGUGAGGGCAGCACUGCUAACACGUACACAACAUGCCUCCAUCAUCUAGAACUUUAGUACAAUUUUUGGAAAA
ensembl:snRNA